GAAAGGCCUGGCUUCCUUUUCCUUCCUGUCCCUGCCCCACCUCCGCCGGGCUCCACAGCCGCCGGGAGUCCAGGGCCGAGACGGGAGGAGGGUACCCACCUGGUCGGUGUCACAUGCUGCUUCGGCCCCAGCGUCCCCUCCAGGUCCCGGCGCCGGCCGCAGUCCCCAGCGCCGUCCCCAGCGCAGGCCCGGCCGCCCCACCCGCGGCCCGCCCCUGGCCGCCCGACGGGAGGGAGGGAUCGGGUUCUCCUAGGAAGUUUCAG
rnacentral:antisense_RNA from 1 species